AGCGAACGUUAGCGGCGGGCCUAACACAUGCAAGUCGAGCGAGAAAAGGGCUUCGGCCCUGAGUAAAGCGGCGGACGGGUGAGUAGCACGUAGGUAAUCUUCCCUUGAGCGGGGGACAACGAGCCGAAAGGCUCGCUAAUACCGCAUAAGUUUCUCGGGACUCCGGUCCUGGGAAGGAAAGCUAGGUAGCAAUAUCCGGCACUCGAGGAGGAGCCGGCGUCGGAUCAGCUAGUUGGUGGGGUAACGGCCUACCAAGGCGAAGACGCGUAGCUGGUCUGAGAGGAUGAUCAGCCACACUGAAACUGAGACACGGUUCAGACUCCUACGGGAGGCAGCAGUGGGGAAUAUUGGACAAUGGGCGCAAGCCUGAUCCAGCCACGCCGCGUGAGUGAUGAAGGCCUUCGGGUCGUAAAGCUCUGUGGGGAGGGACGAACCGCCGUUGGUGCAUAGCCAACGGCAUGACGGUACCUCCUUAGCAAGCACCGGCUAACUUCGUGCCAGCCGCCGCCGUAAUAC
rnacentral:rRNA from 1 species